UACGGGGGGGGGCAAGCGUUUGUUCGGAAUUACUGGGCGUAAAGGGCUCGUAGGUGGCCAACUAAGUCAGACGUGAAAUCCCUCGGCUUAACCGGGGAACUGCGUCUGAUACUGGAUGGCUUGAGUUUGGGAGAGGGAUGUGGAAUUCCAGGUGUAGCGGUGAAAUGCGCAGAUAUCAGGAGGAACACCGAUGGCGAAGGCAGGUCUCUGGGCAUUAACUGACGCUGAGGAGCGAAAAGCAUGGGGGAGCGAACAGG
rnacentral:rRNA from 1 species